GACGAACGCUGGCGGCGUGCUUAACACAUGCAAGUCGAACGAUGAAGCCUUAGCUUGCAUUGGUGGAUUAGUGGCGAACGGGUGAGUAACACGUGAGCAACGUGCCCAGGACUCUGGAAUAACCGCGGGAAACCGUGGCUAAUACCGGAUAGGUGCCGAGGCCGCAUGGUCUUCGGUUGGAAAGUUUUUGCGGUUCUGGAUCGACUCACGGCCUAUCAGCUUGUUGGUGGGGUAAUGGCCUACCAAGGCGACGACGGGUAGCCGGCCUGAGAGGGUGACCGGCCACACUGGGACUGAGACACGGCCCAGACUCCUACGGGAGGCAGCAGUGGGGAAUAUUGCACAAUGGGCGCAAGCCUGAUGCAGCAACGCCGCGUGGGGGAUGACGGCCUUCGGGUUGUAAACCUCUUUUAGUAGGGAAGAAGCGCAAGUGACGGUACCUGCAGAAAAAGCACCGGCUAACUACGUG
rnacentral:rRNA from 1 species